rnacentral:misc_RNA from 1 species
AAUAUAACCAUGCAGAAACUUUAGCUAAAUAGAACAGACCUAAGGUUUACGUGGAUUCACGAUACGUUAGCAAUGGUUAAAAACACGGCGAUUUUCUUGUAGAUUUUUCAUUUUCACAAGAAAAUGCUUGAGUAUAUUUUUAUCAAAAUUUGAGUGAACCGGGGUCUUCUCAACAUUUAUCGAAUAUUCAAGUUCAUUCUCCUUACAUUCGACUAUAAGUGGUCAAUUUGUUAUAGCUCUUUUUUGUGCAAAAUAAUUACAGCGGCUGUUUUCUUGAUUCAACCGGAAAUCUGAUUAUUUACAGAAUAAUCAAAAUUAGCAUUAUUUCACUGACAACUGCAGACACUUAUAUAUGAAAGGUCGGCUUGAAACGGGAUAAAGAGAUACCAAGAAACUAAACAAAGCAUUCGCAAAGUAGAUAAUCCCGUGAAGCAAUAUGUGCUCGAAUCUACGUAACUGGCCAGUCUUCAGUUCACUGGAGCCAAAAUUUAUUUCCGAGAUUCACAUAGUUAUGAUAUUUGGUGAAUUGGGUAAAAUGGCCUUAAUUGUAACAAAGGAUAAGAAAGUAUACCUGAUGAAUGACAAUCUCCAUGCUUUGGAGAGCAGAGACAAAAGCUCUACUAUGUUAUAUCUGAAGGAGAUUAAGGAUUUGUGUGGAAAAGAUAUAAAGACGUUUGCGUAUGGCAGGGGAUCUCACAUGUUGGCACUCACGAAUGGAGGAGAGGUAUAUUCGUGUGACAACAUUGGUCAAUUGAAGAAUGAAACAUUUAAUAUGGAUCUUACAUUUACUUUAAUAAACAUCCCUACUAUUCAAGACAGUCAGAACAUGAAGCAUGGACAUCGCAUGCGGCAAUAAACAUUCCAUCAUUCUAACUAAUAAUGAUGAAGUGUAUGCCUGGGAAUCAAAUAAUAGUGGACAGGUGGGUAUCUAUGGAUUUCCUAAGCUCAUUUUGUCUGAUGUUGGUUGUAUCUCCUGCGGUGAUAAUUUCACCAUGGCUGUUAAAAAAAAUGGCAAGGUAUAUGGUUGGGGCAGUAACGACGUUGGCCAAUUAGGGAUAGGCACUUAUGAGAAUGAAAAUAUGAAACCGCAGUUGUUGAUUGGUGUACCGGGAAGCCUUAUUGUAGACAAGGUAACUUGCGGAUCAAAUCACACGCUGGUGCUCACAGACAAAGCGACUAUCUACGCCUGGGGUGGAAACAAAUUCGGCCAGUUGGGGUUCGGCCUCCAGUCGGAGUUCUGUACACCAAACAUGAUCGCUCAAACGGAAGAGAUCAGAUGGGUCGACAUUGCGGCUCUGCACAAUAUUAGCAUCGCUGUCACUGAAACAGGACGGUUCUAUGUUUGGGGUGAUUGCCGCGGUGAAUGCAUCUCGAUCCCAAUCGCCACUUCAUCCUUCAAUGUGCACGACACCUUUGCGCACUACGGGCCGAGCAUUAUGCACAAACCGUUGAUUCUGAACGAAAAACUGGAUAUAUUAGGAUGCUUGGGAAUUGCAUUCGACGAUUCUUCAACAAGCGAUCUCAAAAUACAAGUGGACGACAAAUGUAUCCAUGUGCACAAGAUUAUCUUGACAAUUUGCUCUUCACACUUCAGAAAUAUGUUUGCGCAUGAUUGGGCAGAAAACAACCAAAGUGUCAUCAAGGUUGAUAAAAUUUCCCAUGACGUCUACAAAGCAUACCUGAAGUAUUUAUAUACCAAUACAAUCGAUUUAUAUCUUAUAAAUACCUUUGAGAAGGUAUCAGAACUUUUUGAUUUGGCCAAUGCUUAUUAUGAGGAUAACCUCAAGAAGCAGUGCAUUUAUAGAAUAAAGCAAGAAAUUACUGUAUCAAAUGUCGUCUACUUUUAUAACUUUGCAGUGAAAUAUGAAACAGAGGAGCUGAGAGAAUUCUGCGUCCGCUUUGCCGUUAUUCAUAUGAGAGCUGUGGUGAAAACAGAAAAUUUCGCCAAGCUUGAGGACGAUAAAUUGAUGAAUAGAUUUAUAAAUGAAGUAAGCAAAGCUGGCUGCUUCAAACAUUAAUUCCGUUUAUUUUCUUUAACAAGAUAAUGCAACUCAACGAGAAAUGGAUGGAAAUUAUCGAUUUGUGAUGUAAAAAUACAAGGAGUUUUACUUUUAUGUGCAGUCGACCUAUCAGGAAAUUGGAAAAUCCAAAAU